UCUAAUUGCAAAGUCUUGAUGUGGUUAAGAGGGUUUUCUUGCUUGGCUCUGGUUCAAAUGUUUAAUGUUUAUUAAGUGGUGUUGCUUGCUAGCAACAACUUAAUGGGGAUGAUCGAUCAAUGUAGAUUGAUUUCUCCUAUAAAAUAGAAAGUAAUAUAGAGACCACAAUCUUUAAAAUUACUUUUUCUUUCAUCAAAUAUUAAUAAUAAUAAUAAUAAAAAACAUGAUUGUAUUUUUUUUCUUUCAUCAAAUAGAAAACAAAUGUGCAGUGGUGAGAAAACAAAUCUGUAUUUUUACUUGAAGAGAAGAAGGGGAAUAGAACAAAUACUCAGCUCUUCUAGUUUAAAUGCAAGUAUCUUAGGUCAGUUUAAUCACAUAAUUGUUCUUCUGUAUGAAAAUCUAAUUUCUGAUCAUUAAGCAACAAUGAGAAUGCUAUUCUUCAAGCCAACGCGUUAUCUGACGCUAUUUAGAUCAUGAUACUGAAUCUUCCAACACUGCUCCGAGUAAAAGCAUGGAGCACUUUGUUCAAGCUUGUUCAGGGCUAUUUGCAGGCGCGGUUGCAUUUCAACCCCGUUGGAUACUCUGAAAACGCGAUUGCAGGUACAACAACUUGAAUCCAUUCUAGGCUAAUGUUUUCGUGCUUCAAUGGUAGGGCAUGGUAAGAAAUCCACCAUAAGGGAAGUGACUCGAAAUUUGAUUGCGGAAGAUGGAUUGGCCGGAUUUUACAGAGGAUUCGGUGAUAGAUGUUUGAGCACAUCAGCCUGGGGAACUUCAUUGGUUAUGUGCUAUGCAGUUCUAA